rnacentral:SRP_RNA from 1 species
GCUGGGUGUGGUGGCGCACAUCUGUAAUCUCAGCUACUCAAGAGGCUGAGACAGGAGAAUAGCUUGAACCUGGGAGGUGGAGGUUGCAGUGAGCCAAGAUCACGCCAUUGCACUCCAGCCUGGGUGAAAGAGCUAGACUCUGUCUCAA